UGCGCCUGCGGCGGACCAGGCGCGGGUCUUUGUGCGGCUUCGCAGGCAGCCGACCCGCGUACGGUCUGGUACAUUCCAGGAAUUACCUGGAAUUUAAUGGUUUC
rnacentral:sRNA from 1 species